rnacentral:lncRNA from 1 species
GGACAUCAUGGGGACAUCCUUGGGGACAUCCAUGGGGACAUCCAUUGGGACACUAUGGGGACACCGAGGGAUAUCGUGGAGAUACUCAUGGGGACACCAGGGGACACCAUGGGGACACCAUGUGGACAUCCUUGGGGACAUUAUAUGGACAUCAUGGGGACAUCCAUUGGGACACCAUUGGGACACCAUGGGGACAUCCAUUGGGACACCAUGGGGACAUCAUGGGGAUGUCCAUUGGGAUGUCCAUUGGGACACCAUGGGGACACUAUGGGGACACCAGGGGACACCAUGGGGACAUCAUGGGGACAUCCAUUGGGACACCAUGGGGACACCAUGGGGACAUCAUGGGGACAUCCAUUGGGACACCAUGGGGACAUCCAUUGGGAAGUCCAUUGGGACACCAUGGGGACACCAUGGGGACAUCCUUUGGGACAUCCAUGGAGACCCCAUGGGGACAUCCAUUGGGACACCAUGGGGACACCAUGAGGACACCAUGGGGACACCGACUGGGACACCACAGGGACACCGCUUGGUCACCCAUUGGGACACCCCUGGGAUUGGGGACACGGGGCCAAAGAUGCCACGCCAAACCAUCCCCACCCCACGUCCUCCCACUGCAAGCCGCUCCCCCAUUUUAAUGACCCCUAAUUAAGCAUAAUUAGGCGCUAACGAGCCCCACCCGUCUCCACGUCCUGCACAUAGAAGUGCAGCUCGUCGGUGACCUCGGUGACAAAGACGGGCCGGUAGGACGCCGAGCGUUCCUGCUCCUCUGCCACCGCCACCACCUCCUCCGACGGAGCCUCCUCGUAGUGUGCCCACACCUGGGGACAGCGUGGGGACAUGGGGUGGCAUCAGGGCGGGGACAUUGGUUGGGACGGGAUGGUGGCACUGGGAUGGGGACAGCCGUGGGGAUGAGGUGGUGGCAUCGGAAUGGGGACAUGGGGGUGGCAU